CGGUGCUGACUGACUCAUGUCGGUGGGUCUGGCCAAUGUUAUGUCCGCGGUGCGAAGGUACGUGGCGUCAGGGGGUACCAAGCGCACGUAAGGGGCACCGUCUUCAGCACGAACAAUGCGUAAAAAUUCGGGAAACAUGUACGUGAAAGAAAACUGAUCUGUUUCUUGCCACUCAUUGUUUUGGU
rnacentral:ribozyme from 1 species